rnacentral:rRNA from 1 species
GUGGAUGGGUGUACCACCCUGCGAACGCCCGAUCUCAGAAGCUAAGCAGGGUCGGGCCUGGUUAGUACUUGGAUGGGAGACCGCCUGGGAAUACCAGGUGCUGUAAGCU